rnacentral:rRNA from 1 species
GACGAACUGUGCAAACGUUAUUCGGAAUCACUGGGCUUAAAGGGUGCGUAGGCGGUCUUUUAAGUAGGGUGUGAAAGCCUCUGGCUCAACCAGAGAACUGCGCCCUAAACUAGAAGGCUUGAGUGAGGUAGGGGUGUGUGGAACUUCCAGUGGAGCGGUGAAAUGUGUUGAUAUUGGAAGGAACGCCGGUGGCGAAAGCGACACACUGGACCUUGUCUGACGCUGAGGCACGAAGGCCAGGGGAGCAAACGGG